GGUGCUGUAGCAGCAACACAAGCGGCGAGACUUCACCCCCUCUCCCCGGGUCUCAGGGCUGACACAGGCAGAUGCAGAAGCCGAUUUCCAAUCAUCGAUGCCCCACAGACAGCUGUGAAGAAAUGACCAACUUGAUCUGAAGGCUGACAUCGCUGUUUGAUUGACAGUACAGGGAGGAUGCACAACAGGGAGCCGUGAUUUACAGACAUGGAGCAGCUGAGAUGUGCGAGGGCUUGGAUUCGAUGUGAAUGACUUUUGCCCAGAACACGACCCGUUCAAAGUGGAGCAGCC